rnacentral:rRNA from 1 species
UUAAGCGACUAAGCGUACACGGUGGAUGCCCUGGCAGUCAGAGGCGAUGAAGGACGUGCUAAUCUGCGAUAAGCGUCGGUAAGGUGAUAUGAACCGUUAUAACCGGCGAUUUCCGAAUGGGGAAACCCAGUGUGUUUCGACACACUAUCAUUAACUGAAUCCAUAGGUUAAUGAGGCGAACCGGGGGAACUGAAACAUCUAAGUACCCCGAGGAAAAGAAAUCAACCGAGAUUCCCCCAGUAGCGGCGAGCGAACGGGGAGCAGCCCAGAGCCUGAAUCAGUAUGUGUGUUAGUGGAAGCGUCUGGAAAGGCGCGCGAUACAGGGUGACAGCCCCGUACACAAAAAUGCACAUAUUGUGAGCUCGAUGAGUAGGGCGGGACACGUGGUAUCCUGUCUGAAUAUGGGGGGACCAUCCUCCAAGGCUAAAUACUCCUGACUGACCGAUAGUGAACCAGUACCGUGAGGGAAAGGCGAAAAGAACCCCGGCGAGGGGAGUGAAAAAGAACCUGAAACCGUGUACGUACAAGCAGUGGGAGCACGCUUAGGCGUGUGACUGCGUACCUUUUGUAUAAUGGGUCAGCGACUUAUAUUCUGUAGCAAGGUUAACCGAAUAGGGGAGCCGAAGGGAAACCGAGUCUUAACUGGGCGUUAAGUUGCAGGGUAUAGACCCGAAACCCGGUGAUCUAGCCAUGGGCAGGUUGAAGGUUGGGUAACACUAACUGGAGGACCGAACCGACUAAUGUUGAAAAAUUAGCGGAUGACUUGUGGCUGGGGGUGAAAGGCCAAUCAAACCGGGAGAUAGCUGGUUCUCCCCGAAAGCUAUUUAGGUAGCGCCUCGUGAAUUCAUCUCCGGGGGUAGAGCACUGUUUCGGCAAGGGGGUCAUCCCGACUUACCAACCCGAUGCAAACUGCGAAUACCGGAGAAUGUUAUCACGGGAGACACACGGCGGGUGCUAACGUCCGUCGUGAAGAGGGAAACAACCCAGACCGCCAGCUAAGGUCCCAAAGUCAUGGUUAAGUGGGAAACGAUGUGGGAAGGCCCAGACAGCCAGGAUGUUGGCUUAGAAGCAGCCAUCAUUUAAAGAAAGCGUAAUAGCUCACUGGUCGAGUCGGCCUGCGCGGAAGAUGUAACGGGGCUAAACCAUGCACCGAAGCUGCGGCAGCGACACUAUGUGUUGUUGGGUAGGGGAGCGUUCUGUAAGCCUGUGAAGGUGUGCUGUGAGGCAUGCUGGAGGUAUCAGAAGUGCGAAUGCUGACAUAAGUAACGAUAAAGCGGGUGAAAAGCCCGCUCGCCGGAAGACCAAGGGUUCCUGUCCAACGUUAAUCGGGGCAGGGUGAGUCGACCCCUAAGGCGAGGCCGAAAGGCGUAGUCGAUGGGAAACAGGUUAAUAUUCCUGUACUUGGUGUUACUGCGAAGGGGGGACGGAGAAGGCUAUGUUGGCCGGGCGACGGUUGUCCCGGUUUAAGCGUGUAGGCUGGUUUUCCAGGCAAAUCCGGAAAAUCAAGGCUGAGGCGUGAUGACGAGGCACUACGGUGCUGAAGCAACAAAUGCCCUGCUUCCAGGAAAAGCCUCUAAGCAUCAGGUAACAUCAAAUCGUACCCCAAACCGACACAGGUGGUCAGGUAGAGAAUACCAAGGCGCUUGAGAGAACUCGGGUGAAGGAACUAGGCAAAAUGGUGCCGUAACUUCGGGAGAAGGCACGCUGAUAUGUAGGUGAAGUCCCUCGCGGAUGGAGCUGAAAUCAGUCGAAGAUACCAGCUGGCUGCAACUGUUUAUUAAAAACACAGCACUGUGCAAACACGAAAGUGGACGUAUACGGUGUGACGCCUGCCCGGUGCCGGAAGGUUAAUUGAUGGGGUUAGCCGCAAGGCGAAGCUCUUGAUCGAAGCCCCGGUAAACGGCGGCCGUAACUAUAACGGUCCUAAGGUAGCGAAAUUCCUUGUCGGGUAAGUUCCGACCUGCACGAAUGGCGUAAUGAUGGCCAGGCUGUCUCCACCCGAGACUCAGUGAAAUUGAACUCGCUGUGAAGAUGCAGUGUACCCGCGGCAAGACGGAAAGACCCCGUGAACCUUUACUAUAGCUUGACACUGAACAUUGAGCCUUGAUGUGUAGGAUAGGUGGGAGGCUUUGAAGUGUGGACGCCAGUCUGCAUGGAGCCGACCUUGAAAUACCACCCUUUAAUGUUUGAUGUUCUAACGUUGACCCGUAAUCCGGGUUGCGGACAGUGUCUGGUGGGUAGUUUGACUGGGGCGGUCUCCUCCUAAAGAGUAACGGAGGAGCACGAAGGUUGGCUAAUCCUGGUCGGACAUCAGGAGGUUAGUGCAAUGGCAUAAGCCAGCUUGACUGCGAGCGUGACGGCGCGAGCAGGUGCGAAAGCAGGUCAUAGUGAUCCGGUGGUUCUGAAUGGAAGGGCCAUCGCUCAACGGAUAAAAGGUACUCCGGGGAUAACAGGCUGAUACCGCCCAAGAGUUCAUAUCGACGGCGGUGUUUGGCACCUCGAUGUCGGCUCAUCACAUCCUGGGGCUGAAGUAGGUCCCAAGGGUAUGGCUGUUCGCCAUUUAAAGUGGUACGCGAGCUGGGUUUAGAACGUCGUGAGACAGUUCGGUCCCUAUCUGCCGUGGGCGCUGGAGAACUGAGGGGGGCUGCUCCUAGUACGAGAGGACCGGAGUGGACGCAUCACUGGUGUUCGGGUUGUCAUGCCAAUGGCACUGCCCGGUAGCUAAAUGCGGAAGAGAUAAGUGCUGAAAGCAUCUAAGCACGAAACUUGCCCCGAGAUGAGUUCUCCCUGACUCCUUGAGAGUCCUGAAGGAACGUUGAAGACGACGACGUUGAUAGGCCGGGUGUGUAAGCGCAGCGAUGCGUUGAGCUAACCGGUACUAAUGAACCGUGAGGCUUAACCUU